UGUGAGGCUUCAGCCAACACACCCUAACGCCCCGCUGCCCGCACAUGCACCCCGCUGCCCGCAUACCCCACCCACGCGGUGCCCGCACACCUCUCCCUCUCUCUCUCUCUCUCUCUCUCUCUCUCUCUCUCUCUCUCUCUCUCUCUCCGACGAGCACCUUCUCCCUACACUUGCGCCGGCAGCACACUGCCUCCCCACGCUUGCACCCGCACCCCACUGCCUCCCCCACGCUUGCACACCCCAGCCAUGGCGAAUAGGGUGGCGGAGGCGGCGGAUUUGACGGAUCCGGAUGCGGCGACGGUGGCGACAACGGAUUAGGAUGCGACGGCGGUGGAUCUGGCGACAGUGGCGGUGGAUCCGGUGGAUCCAACUAUGGUGGCAGUAGAUCCACGCCAGGUAGGCCUCCUCUAUCGUCUCUUCCAACUCCGACAAGCUCUCAAUUGUUAGCAUAUUUGAAGAGUUGGUUUUUCUAGAUGCAUAGUUUUUAUUAUCAGAAAUGCUAAAAUGAAAACACACAGGAUGGAAGGCUUCAGCUAGCACACCCCAGCACACACUGACGCCCGCAGCCUGCACACCUCGCUGCCCGCAUACCCCACCAACACGAUGCCUGCACACCUCUCUCACACUCUCUCCGACGAGCACCUUCCCGGCAACCUCCUCCUCAUGCUGGCGCCACACCGCCUCCCCACGCUUGCGUCCGCAACCCACUGCCUCCCCCACGCUCGCACUCACGCCAGCCAUGGUAGAUGCGGCGGCAGAGGCGGCGGAUCUCACGGAUCUGGAUGCGGUGACAACGACGGCAGCGGUGGAUCCGGUGGAUCUGGCUAUGGUGGCGACCGAUCCGGUGGAUCCGGCUACGGUGGCAAUGGAUCCGCGCCAGGUAGGUCUCCUCCCCUUAGAUCUUAUAUCUAGGGUUCUAGUGAGCUCUGCCUGUCAUCUCUUCCAACUUCGGCGGGCUAUAGAAUGGCCGAAUAGGGGAAGCAGGUAGGCCAGGCAGUGGGGAAUGCUGGCGGGUAAUUUAGGGGAGCUGGCAACUGUAGUGGGGACUGGUUGGGCCAGGUCUGGCGGGGGAGCUCCGACCAUGGUUGCAGCGGGAGGGAGGGAGGGAGGGAAAGGAGAUGGUCGCGACCAUGGAGCUUCAGUGAAACCCUAGCUCACAGCCAAGUGGUGCCGGUAGCAGGGGUGAGGGCACCGAAUUGGAGGAAGAAGAGGUGUUGUACGUGUUUUUUUUGCAACUAAAAACUAUUGCGAAGGGGUGAAUGCGGAAGUUGCAAAUCCUGCACAUGCACGCCGUAGCAGCGCUCUUUUAUUUUAUAUCUAGACAUAAUAUAUAUCUAGAUGUAUAGAAAAAAAAAAUAGAUAUCUAUAAAUGACAGAACGAGUUAAAACUUGGAAUGAAGAAGGUAUUUCAAAAGAAUCCAUGCUUCUUAGGAGAGGGUCCUAAAAUUUACAUGGCUAGUCUGUUCAUUGGUCUGAAAAUAUUGUUUGCUGAUUUAUUGUAAGAGAAAAACAUUAUUGGUUGACAGAAAAAAUAUGACUGAUAAGAUAAGCGAACGGGUAGAGCUCAUAUGUUAGCCAAGUAGGUCACGGGUGAUGCAACGCCCGAGUGGUGGCAAGAGUGCUCGUAUAACCUGAUGGCUGCAGAAUGUAACCCCGUAUCUACUUAAUGGAUGAAUCCCCGAGGUUCAAAACAAAAAGAAAUUAACAUCGCCAACAGCCAACAGAGUAUCAUGAUGUAGACAUAAUAACUAUAGAAGUAAACGACCACGAUGCAUAUUGCGCGUAGAAGUAAUUUGUACGGUUCUCUUCAACUCGCACGUCAAGUUUAUUUAGCCUUUUGCAUCACUGCCAUCCAUGUCUGGAUCAUUAACUCACCCACGCAUGUAUACGUAUGUCCUUGCAUCAUCACUGGAUGGAUGAUCAUGUUCCCCUCAAACGUGGGCCAAUAGGCCUUACUAAACCUCUCCCUCUCGAUGAUGAUGAUUCUUUCCUUGACUACCAAGGCCUUGUUUAGUUCCGAAAAGUGAAAACUUUUCGGAACUGUAGCACUUUCGUUUGUUUGUGACCAAUAUUAUCUAAUUAUAGACUAACUAGGAUCAAAAGAUUCGUCUUGUGAUUUACAGCUAAACUGUGUAAUUAGUUUUUAUUUUCGUCUAUAUUUAAUGUUUAAUGCAUGUGCCACAAGAUUCGAUGUGACGGGGAAUCUUGAAAACUUUUUGGUUUUUGGGGUGAACUAAACAAGGCCCAAGGAGAUAGUCCGGUUGUGCUUGUGCACGACGACCUCGGUCAAAAAGUCCAAGAUCCAUGCGGCGGUUGGCCCCACUGCCCAUGCAUGUGGCGCCAAGAUUAUCGCUGCGAGGAAAGAUCGGGCCGGCGGGCCGCCGCGGUGAAGAAACGCGACGACUUUUCGCAACGUCUCGUCACCCCGAACGUCACCGGGAACGGAUCCUCUGCGGCGUCCGUCGGCAGCCUCCCGGGCGCUCUGCCGCCUGCGGCGUGCGCAGCGGAUCCCAGUCUGACUCGGGAACGAAAACGUGCAACUCCCUAGGUCUCCUCUCCUUCUGCUUAACCGCCACUCAUGGUCAAGGCUGGGACCUGGCGCGGGGCGACUGUGCUCUGCUCGGUGCGUGCAUGCACCUGAAUCCUGGGACUGUUGUGGAUAAUCUUCGCUUUCACAUUUGCUUCCCAUCAGUGCCAAGAAAAAUGAUUCGCCUUCUAUAGAAUAAAAAAAGGGCGAAUUUCCAGCACGGAAUUUUCUCAGACCAUCAGUAAAAAGAGGGCCAAUAUUACCAACAACGAUGACAGAAGUAGCAAACGACGUGGCUGGUUCUGUAUAGGUACGUGGCUGGUUCUGUAUAGGUAGUAGCUAGGGGAAUCGCAUCUGUUGCUAGAUUUCAUUUAAGUGGUCUCAGAUAAAAACGCAACAGAGAGGAAAAGUGCGAACGGCACAAAGCGCCCCGGCACGCCCGCUUGCGCAUGGAUGGACGGAUAGGGAACUAGAGCAACAGCGACCUCACGGGCGCCCACUUGCAUGCCCGCGCGGAAUAUGUGACGGGCGGGCGGGGGACGGCCACGCCCGGGUGCCCUGAUCACCUGACGAGGCGCCGCAGCCCUUUCCGUCGCGAAACGCCGCGCGCGCCGCGGGGCGGGGCGGGGGAGCAUAUCUCCAUUCUCCGACACGAGACGCGGCCGCCCGUGGGGAACGAACCUCAGCCACGCGCGACGGGAGGGUGAGGUUUUGCGUGCGUCGCGAGCGCUCACACGAGUCGCGGGCUCCGCGCGGCACCCGAUCCUCUCCUCCGGACGUCCUCCCAGCCACCGAAAAAGAAAAAGAAGACGGUCGUGCGCGGUGCGCCGCGCGGCAGCCGGCAGAAACGUCCUAUCCUCACGCGGAGAUUUGUUCGCCUGGUGAGGUGCAGGAGCAACCACGCCGAAAUGUAAAAUGUGGGGCACGCGACAAAGGUGUGUGUGCGUGUCUGUAGAAUGCGGGGCAUGUGGCACGGCGUGUGCGUGUGUGUUGCUGAGCUUUUGUGUCUAGACAGUAGCCAUGAAUACAUCUUUAGCGUAGAUUUCUCUACUUCCUCUUAUGAAAAGAGCAACUUUUCGAUCGAUUUUGCGUUCACGCAAGCAAGUAUAACCAUUGCUUUUAAUAUAGAUCUCUUCGUUUUCUCUCAUGAAACGGAGCAACUUUUCGAUCAGUUUUGCACUCGUGCGAGCAAGUAGAAUUAUUACUAUUAAGGUAGAUUUUCCCACCUUUUACGAAAAGUGAGCAACUUUCAAUCAAUUUUAUGUUCACACGAGCAAGUGUAACCGUUGCUUUUAGGGUUUUAGUAUUGUGGCUUGUUACAUCUGAAGCAACCAUAUAUGGGAGAAUCAAUUGUAGCCUAGCAAUUAUGGUGUCCGGACAGAUCGAUGCUAAAACCACACAACAUGACCAUGUUUGGCCAUCCCAUAUAGCAAGAUUUCCUAUGCAAGUGUUAAUUGUCAACAUAAUGGAAAAGUUGGUUUUUUCAAGAUGCAUAUAGCUUUUAUUAUAUGCUCAAUGGUGCACCGCAUAAUUUAUAUUAACAUUCUCAAACCACAUUCUUUUAGCUUGGCUAACGUCUCUGGGCAUUGCCUUUUUUGGUUGCUUUCGAUGAGGAAACCUUUUUCUCGUCAUGGCACGGCAGAGCAGACGAGGCUAUAUAUGUUGUGUUGCCUUGACCCGAACGAAUAUAAUCGGCAGAUAUUCGUCAGCCAUAUGCUCUUGCUACAUCGGUGAUGGCACAACUUGUUGAUCAUGACAGAGCACAACACGAGAAUCGUGGCCACACGAUUAGAGGGAGAUUUGCGUGUGCCGUGCACGCCAACCUGAGUCGCAACACAAUAUCCUAUCCUCUGGUCGGUCAAAACGACCUAUCGCCGCCACACAUAGGUUCCCCUUGUAAAGGAGCAAACCCACCAAAAUGCAAGAUGAGGGGCAUGGACAAGGUGUGUGUGUGUGUGCACAUUGCUCCAUGUUGCGUGUGUUACACACACGUCAUGCCAUGCAAUCUACAACAACAUUCUAAAACUGCCUUCUUUUAGCUUGGUUAACGCAAGAGGCAUUGUCUUUUCUGGUUACUUUCGGUAACUUUUUCUUGUUGUGGCAGGGUAGAGUACGCGAGGUUGUGUUGCCUUGCCCUAAUCGAAUCUAAUCGGUAGAUAUUUGUUUGGCUCUUCGCUUAUAGGAGGGCAGGGGGUGUGCAUGAUGCUAGGCCACACACAUCAUGUCGUGCAACGUGUAGUAACAUUUCACCCUGGACAUUGCCUUUUCUACUUGCUUUUGGGAAUCUUUUUCUUCUUGUUUCAUGGCAGAGCACGUAGGCUGUGUUGUCGUGCCCCAGAAGGUUUGGAUCUAGGCGAGCUAGACUAUUAAAGGAAAGGAAAUGCAUGAGCCACACGAUAUCACCAUACUCUGAAAACAGCACUAGGGGAAAAAGAAAAGAGAAAUUAAUUGGAAGGUUAGAGCCAAAGAGAUAACAUAAAGUGGUUGGUGAGACACACAGAAGUAGGCAACACGCAUCCAUGAUAUCCCUCCAACCCAAACAAAUCAUUCAUGAAAACCCUACAACAAUAGGAGCAGCAAUAGGCAAACGCUGCAAUGUCCUAGGGAACAGCCACCUAGCUCUAGCCGCCAGUGCUUGAGGGCUUCAUGGCAUAUGAUACCGCUAUGGCGGAGGUCUCCUCACGGGACUGAGCGAGAGCAUCACAUCCACGAGCAAGUCAUGAGCGAAGCACAUAUGAGGACUCCAUCACCUUGGGAUCCUCAUCCCCACGUUCGGUGAAUGCCUAGUCCCCUGUGCAUGAGCUGGUCUUGCCCCUGCAGCCCCAGUGCUGGUAGCAGUGGAGAUGGAAGAGAUAAGAAAGAGAUGUCAGUAAGCUAGAGGAAGCCAAAGCACUAAGGCUCGAUCGUCGAGAAGAAUGUAAUAUAUAGAUAUUCAUAUAGCUUUACGCUUGGUCUGGGAGCAACCUCGCCAAAAUGUAAAAUGCGAGGCAUGGAUAGGACAUGUGCAUGUUGCUAGGCCAUGCGUGUUGUGUCGUGUAAUCUAUAGUAACAUUCUAAAACCAUCUCUUUUAGCUUGGCUAAUGUCCUCUAGCACUACCUUUUCUACUAGCUUUCGGCUAGGAAACCUUUUCUCGUCAUGGCAGGCAAAGCAUACCAGGCUAUUUUGUGUUGCCUUGACCUAGACGAAUGUAAUUGGCAGAUAUUCGUUAGUCAUAUGUUCCGGCUAUAUCUGUAACUACACAACUUGUUGAUCAUAGAGUACAAUAGAAGAAUCAUGGCCACGUGCUUGGAUGGGAGAUUUGCGUGCGUCGCGCGUGCCUACCCGAGUUGUGGCAUGCUAUCCUCUCCUCCGGUCCUCCCCACCACUAAAAAAGAAAAUCAUCUUGCAUGGUGUGACGUGCAGCUAAAAUGACCUAUCACCAUGCAUAGGUUUGCCUGGUGCAGGAGCAAAUGUGCUGAAAUGUAAAACAUGGGGCAUGGGACAAGGCGUGUUUGUUUGUGUGUGUGUGUGUGUGACGCACACUGUACCAUGCUUCAUGUGUGUGAUACACACAUCGCGCCAUGCAAUCUGCAACAACAUUCUUAAACCGCCUUCUUUUAGCUUGGUUAACGCCCUGGGGCAUUGUCUUUUCUAGUUGCCAUUGGUAACUUUUCUCGUUGUGGCAGCAUAGAGUAGGUGAGGUUGUGUUGCUAUGCCCUAAACGAGUGUAAUCGAAAGAUAUUUGUCUCACUCUCCACUUGGUGCAGGAGGGUUGGACAUGUGCGUCAUGCUAGGCCACGCACGUCUUGUUGUGCAAUCUAUAGAAACAUUUUCAAACCGCCUUAUUUUAGCCUGGCUAACACCCCCUGGACAUUGCCUUGGCUAACUGUAACACCCUGGCUUUUAAAAUAAGACCAGAUUCGUCAUAUGUGUGCCCAGGAAGUCCACACAUAUAACAAAAGAAUAGAAAUAUCAGAAACAAUGUUAUAUAUAGCGGAAAACAUAUUUAUAUUAACACUUACAAACAUCAGAGUACGCGGAAACAGUAGCUAAAACUUCUUAGGCUCCAUUCUUCUCAGGGACGGUUGACUGGGGGCUCCGUACGCCAAGCACUUCUCAUAAGCUUCUAGAAAACUCCAUAGCAUCUUUAUCCCUCUUCUGAGCAGCACUUUACUACACACUGAGGUGUGGGGGGGAAAUAGCAAGGGUGAGUUCAUGUCGAACUCAACAAGUACAGGCGGAAAGUAUAAUGACAUGCAAGGCUUAAUCAAAGGAAAAGCUGACAUUGUUUAACUGCAGGUGAGCUUUUUAAGUGAACAAGCUUUUAUUACAACUUCUAUCAUUAAAACAACCUAUUACUAAAUAUGGGUAAAGCAUCCCAACCCUUAAUUAGAUGGAAGUAGAUUAACCAUUUUAUUAAUCAUCAUCAUUAUUAUUAAUAUUAUUACCGAGGUAGCAACCUCAGAUAGUAACUCGGGGUAGCAACCCCAUUAAGGUCAUGGGAUAGCAAUCCCAAUUAAGAACACAGGAUAGCAAUCCUGCCAACACGGAAUAGCCAUUCCGCCAAAGCACGAGGUAUCAACCUCAACCAAGUUCCGCCUCCAAGUUCCAUGUGAUUCCAAUUUGCUCAUCAAGUGAGGGUCUGGGCCGCUCGUGACCGUGAGCACGGCUGAUAUAUCAGUUUUACACUCUGCAGAGGUGUGCACGUUCACUCCAAGUCGUGAUUCCCAUUCGCCUGGGGUCGCGACUCCCCAAAACACUACCAAGGUGAGCAGGCAGGGUCUCACUACGAGACCUUUCACAGGGUCCAACUAAUAGGAUGUCACUCGUAAGUUUUUGCCGGGGCGCGCGGCAGCCGUGCCCAUAGCAAUGGGACCCCGAACUGACCGACCUCUUAAUAUGAAUACCCAAGCUACAUUCCUUACGCCUACCCAGAAAGUAACACCCUACCAGCGGAGGUCCUGAUAAUUAGUCAAGCCAGAGCCAUAUAGCUUGGAGCUGCACUGUAAGUCCCAGGGGGCCGCUCCCUGACUAAGUCCUUACGGAGAGCAGAGACGGGUACGCCCGGCAAACCGGACCACCAACAGUACCCGCUCCCCCUGUCCUCAACCAAACCACGAUGCUCGCAGGCACCGCAACAUCUCCAUCACCGAAGUGACCAUUGUUCACCAUUUAAUCAUUUAUCAUCAUUGAAGAAUUCAUUAAACAAGAUCAUUAUUAUUAUUAUUAUUAUAUAGAUUAGAUGAGUAGAGCAACUAAGCAUAUCUACUGUUCACUAUACUACCCAUAUAUAAACCCAGGUAUACAAGGAAUAUAGUAGAAGACUAGUCAUGUCCUUAGGGUUUGCAGUAUUAAGACACAUACAAUGGAAAGUAAAUGUAUUUAAAGUUUAUAGGUACAAUAUGAUCAAAGGGUGCCUGCACUUGCCUUAAUUCCCAGUGUUUAUCUGCUCAGAAUUCUUUGGCUUCUUUCUUCUGAUCUCCAACUUCUGCUUCGAUUAUCGGUCCUCAGCGCCUGAUCUUCAAUGCUGACGAACCACGCUUCUUCUACUCGUAGCAACCAAGCAACACAAACAGACAAACAAAUAAUCAUGACUAAGAACAAGCAUCAAUCAAAAGAAAAGCUUAGAAAGAGCGCACUAAACGACACGACUUAUUGCUACGAUCGUGACAACGCAAGAACGAUUGAGAACGGAGCUAUCGUUAAACGGACACGACUUUCGAGGUUCGGAGUGUAACGGAGAAGACGACUAUACGCUGGUCGUAUUUUAUUUAAUAAAAGAAGGUGAUAGACUUUUAGAGAAAUAUCUCAAAGUUGAAUUGACCAAAUUAUAAAGAAUUAUAAAAGAUGGAGUUAAACUUUAGUCAUAUUUUAAUUGUAGAUGGUUAUAUAUCAUUUAAGCCAUUUACGCCUUUGUAAUUUUAGAAAACAUAAAGCAAGUAAGAGCAGCUAAUCAAAUCCUAACAUGCGUCGCAUGUAUAUUAAACAAGUUAUAACUAAUAAAGAACCAUUUAAGUUGAUAUUAAUAAUGUUAACAUUUAUUUAUUUAUAAAAGAUCUAAAUUAUAAACAUAGGUUACUUUUAAUCCAAAAAGACAUUAAAUAAAUAUUAAACAAAUUAAUUAUAUACUUUAUGUCUAACUAAAAGAAUUAUAAUUAAUAAAUAUUUAAGUUAACUUCAAUCAAGUUAAUAUUAGAUUAUAAAAAUAGCGAAGUGUAAACUUAGAUUGUUUUUUUGUUAAUUAAAAAUGACAUUCAAAAAAUAUUAAUUAAACUAAUUAUAUUUAUAAACAUGGGACAUGGAAAACAGUAUCGCUAAUAAGUCAUUUACGUUGCCAUGGUCAUAAAACAAUAGAAAACAUGAUUAUAACUCUAUAUUGCUUUUAAUUAUAAAAUUAGGUGCAUAUAUUAAUUAAUCUAAUAUUCAAUUAAAUAUGGAAAAAAAUAUAUGACAUAAUAAAAGUUAGCACUACUGCGUAGAGCGCGACGUUACGAAACUAACGCAAUUGAAACGGAAUGAAACAGAGUUAGAACGAUUGAAUGGCGAAGGAUUAAUGACCAGUGGCAAACUUGUAAUUACUUUCAUCUUCUACCUUGAGAUUUUGUACGGACCGAACCAGGACAACAUGCUGCUCGUGCUGUGCGUGGGAAGGAAGGGCUCGGUCGGACCUUGGCCGCCUGGUGCGCGGCGUGCAGCUGCAGCGCGGAGGAGCCCACGGGUCACGGCUGGGACCUGCUCGAGCCGUAGCAAGUGGGGGAGGGCACGAGGCCUCGCCCUGCUCGAGCGAGCACAAGGACGGUGCGCUGGCGGCGCCGACGCAGGACACGGCGUCACACUGGCCAGGGCGCCGGUGGCCGGUGGCGUGUGAUCAGGACAAGCCGAGGAAGGGCCCUAAAUGCCGAAGAACGCAGGAAAAACAAGGUCGAUCUCACCAGCAAUGGAGGUUUCUCGCCGGAGAUGAAACUGGAAGAUGGGAACUAGUCAAACGAUAAUGGAUUCGCCCAAAAAGAAAUACUACAGUGAAGAGAAUGACAAGGGCUACCUCUUCAUGGUGAUGGCUAACGCCGGGACGCCAUGGUUUUGCCGGAAAAACUCACCGGAGAGUUCGCCGGAAACCUAGCUUUUGCAAACUUCGGCGAGAGAUGGAGGGAGCUACGGGUGGCGGCUCGCGAUGGGAUUUUUAGAUCUGUGAUCAGCGUGACGAGACGAACACCGGCAUAUAUAUAGGUCUAGGGUUUGGAAAAGUUUCAAAAAUUAUUAAUUACGGGAUUUUUAGAAAUUCAUUUUUAGUUCAAAAUAAUUCCAGAAAAAGCUGAAAUCAUUUUAAAGCCCUGAAAAAUAUUUCCAAAAUUCUAAAAAUUAAAGGAAAACUUUUAGAGAUAUAUUGAGAGUUGAUCAAUCCAAAAAAAGUUUUUGGUGUCCAUGAAAAAGAAUUUUAGAGCAUAUAAAAAAAGAUUUUGUUCUAGGAAAAUGGGAAAAAGUUCUGAAAAAGUUUUGGAAAAUUCUCGGGAAGGAUCGGACGGCGUCUAAACGUAUUUGUAAAAUCUUAGCAUGCACAAAAACAACAAACCCAAGUAAAAACUAGAGCACAAAGCACACAAUAACAAAACAAAACGCCCUUCACUUUUCUUUACAAAAAUUUUAGAAUUUCACAUUUUUCUCAUUUUAUAAUGACAAUAAUUAAUAAAAUAAAUCUUGUAAUAUUUUUAAAAAAAUUUUAAAUCCUUAUUUAAUUUAGUGUUUUCUAAUAACAAUCCAAAAUUAGAAAAUUUUGGAGUGUUAUACUAACACCCCCUUGACAUUGCCUUUUCUACUUACUUUCCAGAAGCUUUUUCUUGUUGUGGCAUGCCAGAGCACACAAGGUUGUGUUAUCGUGUCCCAGAAGGUUUGGAUUUAGCCGAGCUAGACUAUUAAACAAAAGGAAAUGCAUGAGGCACACAACGUCACCAUACUCUGAAAAGGUCGUAGGGGUAAAAAAGGGAAAUUAAUUGGGAGGUUAGAGCCAAAGAGAUAACAUAAAAGUGAGGCUGAUCAGUGAGGCAGGCAGAAAUAGCCAACAUGCAUUCAUGCCAUCCCUCCAACCCAGAUAAAUCAUUCAUGAAAACCCUACAGCAACAGAUGCAACGACUAGUGAACGCUACAUCCCAGGGAACAGCCACCUGGCUCCAGUCCCCAACGCUCGAGUGUUUCAUGGCAUUUGAUAUUGCCAUGGUGGAGGUCCUUGUGGGACUGAGUGAGAGCAUCACAUCUAUGGGCGACCACGACGCAUCUAAGGCCUCAGUUGCCUUGGGAUCCUCAUCCCUGCAUUCGGUGAACGCCCAACCCCCUGAGCAUGAGCUGGUCUUGUCUCGCAACCCUAGUACCGGUGGUGAUGGAGAUGAGGAAGAGGACAAGCAAGAUGUGUAAGAUAGAGGAAGCCAAAGCACUAUCGCAUGAUUGUUAAGAAAAAUGUAAUCAAUAGAUAUAUUCAUCUAGCUCUUUGUCUGGUCCAGCCGCACCGAAAUGUAAAAUGUGGAGGGCACAGAUAGGGCGUGUACGUGUGGGUGUUGCUAGGCCAUGCGCGUCGCACCAUGUAAUCUAUAGUAAUAUUCCAAACCCGUCUCUUUUAGUAUGGAUAAUGCUCUUCUGGCAUUGCCUGUUCUACUUGCUUUCGGAACCCUAUUCCUCGUGGUAGCAGGAUAGAGCAAGUGAGGCUGUGUUGCCUUGCCCUAGACUAAUGUAAUCACAGACAUUCUUUUGUCUCUCUGCCUAGUGCAGGAACAACUGCGCCGAAAUAUUGUAAAAUAUGGGGCACGAGGUAGGGCGUGUGAGUGUCAUGGGCCACGCGUGCCGUGACAAAAUGUAAAAUGUGGGGCACUGGGCAGGGCAUGUGCUUGUUGUAGGCUACACAUGCCGCGUCGUGCCGUGCAAAUUACAUUGACAUCCUAAAACCAUCUUAUUUUAGUUUAGCUAACGCCUCCAAAAUUGCCUUUUCUAAUUGCUUUCGGCAACUUUUUUUCUUGCGGCAGGGUAGAGCAGCUGAGGCUCUGUUGCCUUGCCCCGAAUGAAUAUAAUCGGUAGACAUUCGUCAGGCAUAUGCUGCGGCUGCAACGGUAGCGGCUCAGAUUGUUGAUCAUGAUAGAGUACAUGAAACCUUGGCUUGUUUAGUUCCAAAAAAAUUACAAAAUAGACACGGUAGUACUUUCGUUGUAUUUGACAAAUAUUGUUCAAUCAUGGACUAACUAGGCUCAAAAGAUUUAUCUCGCAAAUUAUAUGCAAACUAUGCAAUUAGUUAUUAUUUUUAUCUAUAUUUAAUGUUUCAUGCAUGCGUCGCAAGAUUCAAUGCGAUGAGAAAUCUGAAAUUUUUUAUAAUUUUUUUUGAACUAAACAAGGCCUUGUGUUCACGAUCAACAAGAAACCAGAGCACGAACAUGCCGUUGUUUGUUGCUGCUUUGGUCGUUAAGAUUGAGCAAGUUGCUCAACGGUCUCAGCAUGUAGCCACGUACUCCUACAUAGCACAGCAGUGACAAAGCAUGGGGUUCACGCACACGGUACAGUCAGCGUGCAGCUACUAGUAGCUUGCCACGAAAGAAACACAGAUGGUUUCGUCCCCAGAUACAUUUUGGUCAUGCUUCACGCACAUGUAAUGCAACCAGACGGUUCUUCGUUGAAACUUCCUCCGCCGCAGGCAGACACGUAUAUAUAGGAACGCAAACACUAGCGGCCACACCACAACCUCCUCGCUAUCGCUAGUCGCUCCAUCACCGUUCGCCAAAGAGCCCCAGGACAUCCUCCGGUCUCCACUGCUCGAGCGCGCCGGCGCCGCACGCAUGGCUGCCUGUGUCGACAAGUGGCAACCCACGCACGCCGGCCGCCUCUCCGGCGCCAUCUACCGCUUCUUGCCGGACGGCGCCACGGACCGCGCGGUGACCACCGCUGCGCCGGCGUCCGCGAGCGGCGGCGACGACGACGUCUGGGAGGAGCUGCGCGCGGAGGCGCAGGCCGACGCGGACGCCGAGCCGCUCCUGCGCAAGUUCUACGGCGACCUCGUGCUGACGCGCCAGUCGCUGGAGGCCGCCCUCGCGGCGCACCUGUCGGCCAAGCUCUGCAUCCCCGGCGUGCUGCCGCAGGACGCGCUGCGGGACCUCCUGGCCGCCGCGCUGGCCGCGCACCCGGACGCCGGCCGCGCCACGCGCGCCGACCUCCGGGCGGCGCGCGACCGCGACGCGGCCUGCGAACGGAUGGUGCACUGCUUCCUCUACUACAAGGGCUUCCUCGCCCUGCAGGCGCACCGCGCCGCGCACGGGCUCUGGUCCGAUGGCCGCUCGGCCGCCGCGCUCCUCCUUCAGAGCCGGGCGUCCGAGGUGUUCGGCGUCGACAUCCACCCCGGCGCGCGCAUUGGCUCGGGCAUCCUGUUCGACCACGCCACGGGCAUCGUCAUCGGCGAGACGGCCGUCGUCGGGAACGACGUCUCCAUCCUGCACGGCGUCACGCUCGGAGGCACGGGGAAGGAGUCCGGCGACCGGCACCCCAAGGUCGGGGAUGGGGUGCUGAUCGGCGCCGGCGCCAGCGUGCUCGGCAAUGUGCGGAUUGGAGCCGGGGCGAAGAUCGGAGCUGGGGCGGUCGUUCUACGGGACGUGCCGGAGGGAACCACGGCCGUCGGGAACCCCGCGAAGGCGGUCGGGAAGAAGGCGGUGCCGCAGCGGCGGCCGGAAGAGCAGCCCGGGGUGACCAUGGAGCAAGGGUGGUCGGACUACGUGAUUUGAAAAUUUUCAGAGGGUCCGGGUGCAAAUAUUUUUAGUGCAGGAGAAGGAGAGUUUCCCUCCAAAAGAUAUUCGUGGUCGAUGGCCAUUUCCGCUAUUCUGUAAUAGUGCUGCUAUUGCAGUAUUGCCUACACUAGAGACUACAGAGAGAGCUGCAUUCCCAUAUGCCAUUGCAUAAGAGGGAGAGGGAGCUCAAUUAGGCAUUGAGCCCUAGAGCAAGUCCAUGUUUUUUCUGUUCUUUUUUCCUCUGUUUCUCGGGACUUAAUAACAAUACUAUAUGCAUCUCAUUAGUUAUCGGUUGCUUGUACAUAUACUUCAAGCUAUAUUGUGUCUGUAUGUUUCGUUUCUCCUCCUAAACCAAAAAAGUUCCGUGCAGGGGUUUUGCUAUUUUCAGAUGCCUGAGAAAUAGCAUUUGUUCAGACAAUGGCUAUGAGUCAUGAGAUGAAGAUGUAACGGAUCAGAUGUACGAAUCUUGAAGUAAGAUCAAAGGAUCACGUUAUCGUCUAAACCAAAGACAGAUCAGACACCUGCUUUUUUUAGGAAAAGCGAGGAAAGCCUCUGUCCUUCAGGGGGACUUUAUAGUUUAUACAGUAGUGUUCAAGUACAAACUCUUUGAGCAAGUAGAGGAUGAAUAUGUUCUGUAGGUUGUCAGCCGGUGGAUGAACGGAUUCUGUAAGAACAUCUCGAUAGUUUGAUUCUUGGAAGGGCUGCUUCAAACAAAGCAGAGCAUAAACUACCGUAACCACAUCUGAAAAUUGACUGGCCAGCAAUAAAUCAGCUGUUCCAUCGCGACUUGGACGGCUUGUCUUGGCCCAAACAAAAUCAGCAGCAGCAUUUCCGCAUUUAAAUUGGGGAAACAAAUAAUUGACGUGAGGUUCUAACUUCUAAGCAGAGAGAUAAGUACAAUCUCCUAGUUGAGAAUCUUGGCGAAAGAGGUCAGCCUGGCCCCAAGUGGACGUGGCUGAUGGCUA
rnacentral:lncRNA from 1 species